rnacentral:tRNA from 1 species
UCCCACUAGUAUCCUGUAGCUCAGUGGUAGAGCGUCCAACCGGUGUGCGGAAGGUCAUAGGUUCGACUCCUGUUGGGGGAA